GCACAAAAUGAACUCAACUUUUAUUUCUCGUUUUUUCUGCUUUUGCUUUUAUUUGCAUUUAUUUUAUGCUGAAUAUAUUCCCAGGCCACUUUUUUGUUUGUUUGUUUUUUCAGUUUCUUCCAGGAUAUCUUUUUCUUCUGUGCCACCUCCUCUUCUGUUUUAGGAGCAAUCUGCUCAUUUUCAAGAAUGAUCAUCUCAGGAGUUCCUGUUGCGGCGCAGAAGAAACGAAUCCAGCUAGGAACCAUGAGGUUGCAGGUUCGAUCCAUGAGGUUGCAGGUUCGAUCCCUGGCCUUCUUCAGGGGGUUAAGGAUCUGGUGUUGCCAUGAGCUGUGGUGUAGGUCACUGCUGAGGGGCAGAUUCAAUCCCUGGCCUGCCCUGGAACUUCCGCAUGCCGCAGGUGCAGCCAAAAAAAAUAAAGAAUCAUAAAAUGACAUUCAAUGUGGAAUUAGAGUGCAUUUUAAUAUGUUUCAUGUGAUUUGGACGGGGCCUCCCAAAUUAAGUGCAUCAAGGGCCAAAAGUGGUUUUAUUUAAAAGGCCUGUAAACCUCCGAACCAGACAGACAAGGUCUCAGUCUCAGGAAAUUUCUAAUCAAAGAACACGCUGACCUUCUCAGCAAAAGUAGGAACGAGUAAAGUGGAUCAGAUCUGAGUCUGGAGCUCGCUGAGGACCCCUGGCUUCUCUCCCAACCCCCUGACUAAAAACUGAGAGUUUUUACAGAGAAAAAACUCUCUCCUGUGUCACACCCAUCCCCAGCCUGGUGACUCAGCGCUGGACAUGGGGAUUUUGGAAAGCUCAGUGGGGUGAUGGAGCGGGGAAAGACGGGGUAGAGGUGAUGCUCUCUCUGCUCUCAGGACCAGCCUGGGGUGGGGGUAGGGAGCAGCAGGACAGACAUAGGGAGGGAAAGAGACAAAUUGUCCCCAGAUGACAUUUUGAGACAGCAGAACAAAAUGUGUUUGGCUCUUCCCUACCCUCUCCCUCUUUUAAAGAGAAAUAGGACUCAGCCCUUGAAAGGGACCAUCUGGGCGUCUAAGUCACAGGUGCGAAGGUUUUAGGACUGGGAGGUGAGCAAUUCAGCACCUCCCCCCUCCUCCCCGUCUGCCUCCCCUCCCCAUCCAGCGGAGGAAAGGCAGGGAGGACCUGGGGGAAGCCGCGCUGGAAUCUCCUGCGUGCCCGCGCGUGCCCACUCCCCUAGUACUGUCUCUAUUCCCAGCCACUGGGGUGAGAAUUGGCACAAUGACACGCCAUAAAGUCCAAUCUAUCGAACCCAAUUGAAUUGAAAGGCACGGUGGAGUCAGAUGAGGGGUCUGAUUUCCUCCCCCUCAUGUUUGUUCUCAGCCCGCUGUGUGGCCUUGAGCAACGGCUGCCGCCUCUGAGCUGUUUCCGCAUUUGUACAGAGAGCGCCAGAAAACUUGGUCUGCGGGGACAUUAUGCAGACCCAGUGAACUGAAAUCGGCAAGGCAUUUAGCUCUGGGCCGGGCCUUUUUAAUUCUUACCCUUUGGCUGCAGUGGUGGGAAAGCAAAUGUUUGCCAGGUAGGGGGAGGUGGGUGGAGCUGAUGGUGGCCCCUCGCCAGCCAGAGAGGACUUUGAGCUUGCCCCGGAGUGCCAGGAGGGAGCCACUGAAGGUUCUGCAGCGAGGGAGGGGGCCAGAUCCCGGGAGGGGCCGGGAUCCUCGGCCCUCACCCAGAUCCAAAACCCCGCCUCUGGUGUUCUCUCUUCCUCCAAUGCACCCCCUCCCACAGCCCAGGGCCACAGCUCUGCUCCCACCAAGACCGAGUCUGGGAGAACAGCAGAGUGAGCCCCAGGACAAAGCCUAACUAAGGCUAUGCCUGAGCCCGGGCUUGAACCCCUACUCUGAGCCCCCCUCACUGGGUGUUUUGGAUUCCUCUGGGCCUCAGCCUUCUCCCUGCAAAGUGGGGCGACAACAGCGACCUCACGGGGUGGUGGGGAUGGUUAGUUGAGAUAAUAUGUAAAAGCACCUGGCGGCAUGCCUGCUGUACAGGUGGAGUUCAGUGUACGGUGCCAUUAACUGAGAAAGCGGACAGGGGAUCCAAAGGGAGAGAAUGAGGAUCAGAGACGGGGAAGAAUGACACACGGGCCCUUUGCCUCUCUGGAUGGUCCACCUGCAGCCAAGGAAAAAGCCCUUUGGGAGGAGGGGGUGAUUGGGGGGGCAGCUAUUGGGUAAGAGAGGAGGUCAUCCCUGGCCCGCUUCCCUCCUCUACUUCUACCUCCCGCCCAGCUUGGUCACCCAGUUUAGGGUGACAGGGCUGGGCAUGGUGGACCAGCAGCAAUCCUCCAGAUUCCAGAACUGGGCCUCCUGCAAAAGGUGGGUGAGGGUGUAAGGUGCUUCCAGGUGAUAAGAGAGCUGCAGGUGUCGGGCCAUGGGAGCUGGGAUUCCCCAUCCAUCACCCAUCAGGGCCCCAAGCCCAGCCCACCAGGCUUAACUGGAAGCCCGAGGCUGCUCCAUUUGCAGUGUGGGUCUGCGUGCAAGAAAGCUGGUAACACUGGCUGAGACCGGUUCACUCUCACCCACAGGCCAGCUGGGCCCUCCCCAGUGGCUGGGCACCUGAGCAGGUGUGUGUGUGGGGGGGCCUACAAGCUGUCACUUCUAAAUAUAGAGCCUGGCAGCCUGGGAGUCAGCCAGGUGCGGCUGCCACAUGGCCCCCCAAACUGGCUGAUACGCAUGUGCCCGCCAGUUCUGGGCCUGCACAGACACACAUCAAAACUGCCUCGCACAGACCCCCAGGGACCCACGGAUACCCCCAAAGACACACACUCAGCUUGGCAUGUACACGUCCCUGUCCUUGUUGAGGCCCCUUAUCCACACACACCCUCUCCCCACACUCAUACUCUGCAACGCUCACUGACACCGACCGGGCAGCCCCUGCUUGAACAACAGCCUCCUGAGGGCGGCAUCCCCCGUUCUUGUCCACUGCUGUCUCCUCUGCCUGUAACCGUGUCCAGCACAUACCAGGUGCCCAGAAACGUUUGCUCUCUGAAUGAAUGCACACACACACUCACACACACACACAUUCUGUAAUAAUUACCCCCACUCUCACCUGAUCCCUGCCCCCCUGUGCUGGGUCUACUAGGCCCUACCAAGGACAAGACCAGAAGGCCUGUCCUCCUCUGGCCUGGCCAAUCCCCCAUAGCCAGAGUCCAAGCCAGGCUGAGGACCUGAGCGGGAGGGUGGAGAGGGCAGCCCAGGGAAAGAAGUAGCUUCGAACCCCUAUUUAGGAGGAUGUGGGAAUCAUUGUUUGCUACAGGACAAACCUCCCUGGAGGAGCCACCGCACCACGCUGGAGUUCUGGGUUGGGCCACAUCCCCAGAAAUCCACCAGGGGAGGGGAACACGUGACCCCUAUAAGGCCCUCCCCAGCCCCCUCCUCUGAAGGAGUGCCCCAUUUUAGGUGAUACCACCCCAUCUAGGAGCCCUCAGCUCUGCCCCCAUAGUGCUUGGGCUGGGCUUCCCACAGCCUGCACAUGGAUGUAACAGAGUGACACUUCAGGGGGAGUUCCCAUUGUAGCUCCGUAGGUUAAGAACCUGAUUAGUAUCCAUGAGGGUACAGGUUCAAUCCCCAGCCUCGCUCAGUUCACAGAUGUGGCUUGGAUCCGGUGUUACUCUGGCUGUGGCUGGCAGGUGCAGCUCCGAUUCAACCCCUAGGCUGGAAACUUCCAUAUGCUAAGGUGUGCCCUAAAAAGAAAAAAAAAAAGAAAAGGAAAAAAAUAAAAAAGAGUGAUGCCUGGGGACACAGGAGCAGAGGGGGGUGGUGGUCAGGGAGGACUCCCUGGAGGAGAGGAGCCUUGUACAGUGAGAGACAGGAGGGCCUUCUGGGAAGAUGGCUGGAAGAGGCAUCUGAGCAUCUCUGACUCCAGGACUGCUGAGGGAGCACCGUGACUGUGCUGGGACCUCACAAUUCCCAUGAGAUGAAGCGGAGGCUGAUUGGGCAGGCUGAGCACCAGGGAUGAGGAGGGGAUGCUGUGACCCCAGAGCGACUGAAGGUCGGGUGAGAUUUAUAGUCAGAGCCUGCAUCAGUAGACUGGAGAAGAAGGUGACUGAGGGGGGCAAGCUGAUAAAGGAGAGGACUAGGGACAGCACUAAGGACAGAUGAGUGGCCAAUGGAUGGACAUAUGCAUAGACUAGCAGAUGGACUGAAAGACACAGGAGCAUGAAUAGACAAAUGGAAAGACAGAAGUGGGUGGCUGGCCACUGGGGUCACUCUCUGAAGCCCCACAAGAGCCUGAAGACCCAGCUACUUCCCCUGCAGACCACUCCCACCCCAGCUCCAUUCCCUGUCUCCUUUCCCAGACCAGGUUCCCAGGGAGGCAGACACCUGCUUGGCCUGAUGCCCAGAGAUGCACUUUCCAGCCAAGUACAAGCCCAGAUAUGGAGUCACCUCCUGGUGUUCUUACCUGUGCAGGUGUGCAUAGGAUGGGGUGGGGUCAGCGCCAUAUCUAUGGGCUAAUACCUCCAAAAAUAGCCUCCCAGCAACUGGGGAGUACCCCAAUCAUGGCUCACGUGCGCGCACACACACACACACACACACACACACACACACACAGCCGCUGGCAGAAUCAACCCCAUAGACACUUGAUGCACACACAGGUGCAUUCACUGACACACUGGCACCCAAACACCAGUCCCCCAAACACCACAACUACCAAACUGCAUAGCAACAGAAUGAGCCAACCACAUGGUCUACAAUGUAUGGGGCCACCUGGCCCCUCAGAUACACCCCAACACCAUGCUGUCAUUAAUCUACAAAUGUGCAUUGAACAGCUUCUGGACCCAACCCUAUGGGAUUUCGGAGCACCUUCAAUAGCUCUUCCCAGAGAAAGCUGGACCCACAGGGUCCUUCAUGCUUCACCCUCCAACCCUGCCUCCUACCCUAGCACCUCACAUUUGCCCUCCAUCCAGCAACAUCUGACACCUUAGGGGGGUUCUCUCCUUUUCAUAUGCUUGGAUCCACAUUAUUCCUGCAACUAGGAACCCUUUCCCCAUUUCACUCCUGAACCCCACAUACCAGACCUAUCAUUCAAGACAGAUCUCUGCAUACCUAAAGUUUAACAGUGGGACACACAACAGGGCCUAAAUGUUUGUUGACUGACUGACCAACUUACCAGCUGGGUGAAAUCAUUAGGAAUAUAAAUCAGCUAAGAAUAGUGCAUAAUUAAAGUUCCCAUCAUGGCUCGGUGGUUAACAAACCCGACUAGUAGCCAUGAAGACGCGGGUUCAAUCCCUGGCCUUGCUCAGUGGGUUAAGGAUCCUACAUUGCUGUGAGCUGUGGUGUAGCUCACAGACAUGGCUCGGAUCCCUAGUAGUUGUGGCUGUGGUGCAGGCCGGCAGCUGUAGCUCCAAUUCGACCCCUUAGCCUGGGAACUUCCAUAUGCUGCAGGUAUGGUGCUAAAAAGACAAAAAAAAAAAAAAAAA
rnacentral:lncRNA from 1 species